rnacentral:rRNA from 1 species
UACGGGGGGGGCAAGCGUUGUUCGGAAUUACUGGGCGUAAAGGGCGCGUAGGCGGCCUGCUAAGUCGGACGUGAAAUCCCUCGGCUCAACCGGGGAACUGCGUCCGAUACUGGUGGGCUCGAAUCCGGGAGAGGGAUGUGGAAUUCCAGGUGUAGCGGUGAAAUGCGUAGAUAUCUGGAGGAACACCGGUGGCGAAGGCGACAUCCUGGACCGGUAUUGACGCUGAGGCGCGAAAGCCAGGGGAGCAAACAGGG